GAUGAACGCUGGCGGCGUGCCUAAUACAUGCAAGUCGAGCGAACAGACGAGGAGCUUGCUCCUCUGACGUUAGCGGCGGACGGGUGAGUAACACGUGGAUAACCUACCUAUAAGACUGGGAUAACUUCGGGAAACCGGAGCUAAUACCGGAUAACAUGUUGAACCGCAUGGUUCAACAGUGGAAGACGGUCUUGCUGUCACUUAUAGAUGGAUCCGCGCCGCAUUAGCUAGUUGGUAAGGUAACGGCUUACCAAGGCAACGAUGCGUAGCCGACCUGAGAGGGUGAUCGGCCACACUGGAACUGAGACACGGUCCAGACUCCUACGGGAGGCAGCAGUAGGGAAUCUUCCGCAAUGGGCGAAAGCCUGACGGAGCAACGCCGCGUGAGUGAAGAAGGUCUUCGGAUCGUAAAACUCUGUUAUUAGGGAAGAACAAAUGUGUAAGUAACUAUGCACGUCUUGACGGUACCUAAUCAGAAAGCCACGGCUAACUACGUG
rnacentral:rRNA from 1 species